CCCUGCCAUUUGUACACACCGCCCGUCGCACCUACCGAUUGAAUGUUCCGGUGAGAUCUUUGGAUUCUGUUGAUUGUCAUUUAUUUGAUUUGAUUAACGGGAAAAAUUGAGCAAACCUUAACAUUUAGAGGAAG
rnacentral:rRNA from 1 species